rnacentral:misc_RNA from 1 species
ACCUGCGGAGGGAUCAUUACCGAGUUUACAACUCCCAAACCCCUGUGAACAUACCACUUGUUGCCUCGGCGGAUCAGCCCGCUCCCGGUAAAACGGGACGGCCCGCCAGAGGACCCCUAAACUCUGUUUCUAUAUGUAACUUCUGAGUAAAACCAUAAAUAAAUCAAAACUUUCAACAACGGAUCUCUUGGUUCUGGCAUCGAUGAAGAACGCAGCAAAAUGCGAUAAGUAAUGUGAAUUGCAGAAUUCAGUGAAUCAUCGAAUCUUUGAACGCACAUUGCGCCCGCCAGUAUUCUGGCGGGCAUGCCUGUUCGAGCGUCAUUUCAACCCUCAAGCCCUCGGGUUUGGUGUUGGGGAUCGGCGAGCCCUUGCGGCAAGCCGGCCCCGAAAUCUAGUGGCGGUCUCGCUGCAGCCUCCAUUGCGUAGUAGUAAAACCCUCGCAACUGGAACGCGGCGCGGCCAAGCCGUUAAACCCCCAACUUCUGAAUGUGA